rnacentral:rRNA from 1 species
UACGUAGGGCGCAAGCGUUGUCCGGAAUUAUUGGGCGUAAAGAGCUCGUAGGCGGCUUGUCACGUCGGGUGUGAAAUCCCGAGGCUCAACCUCGGAACUGCCUUUGAUACUAUUGGUCUUGAAUGUUGUUGAGGUGGGCGGAACGGGUCAUGUAGCGGUGAAAUGCAUAGAUAUGACCCGGAACACCGAUUGCGAAGGCAGCCCGCUAAGCAACUAUUGACGCUGAGGCACGAAAGCGUGGGGAUCAAACAGG